CCUACGGGAGGCAGCAGUGGGGAAUAUUCGGCAAUGGAGGAAACUCUGACCGAGCAACGCCGCGUGAAUGAUGAAGGUUUUCGGAUCGUAAAGCUCUGUUCUAAGGGAAGAAGAAAGUGACGGUUGCUUAGGAAUAAGCCUCAGCUUACUUUGUGCCAGAAGCAGCGGUAACACGUAGGAGGCAAGCGUGAUCCGGAAUGACUGGGCGGAAAGGGUCCGUAGUUGGGUUGGCAAGUUGGUAACGUAACUCCGGGGCUCAACCUCGGCACUACUACCAAAACUGUCGGACUUGAGUGCAGGAGGGGCGAAUGGAAUUCCUAGUGUAGCGGUGGAAUGCGUAGAUAUUAGGAGGAACACCAGUGGCGAAGGCGAUUUGCUGGACUGUAACUGACACUGAGGCACGAAAGCGUGGGGAGCAAACAGGAUUAGAUACCCGGGUAGUC
rnacentral:rRNA from 1 species